GGUUGGAAAUUAAGGUGCAAGGAUAUUUAAGUUUUGAAUUACAAAUUGUUGGAAAAAUAGAAAUACAAGAGAGUGAUACAUUUUUUGUGGGGACCUUACUACAAUAAAGAACAAGUGACAACUAAUCCUACUCUAAGCUUUGAAAGGAGCCAACAUCAAGCUAGUGGCUAAAUUUGGCCUUGGUCAAGAGCUAUGCCAAGCCUAAUGUUUAAACAAUUGCUAAACUUAGCAAUAGGACAAGUGAGUGAUGUAGUAAAUCUCAUCUCUUGUCUUCCUCCACAUCUUCUCGAUUUCCACCGCCAAAACACUCCAAAAGCAGGCAGCCCUAAACCUGCAAAAUCAACACAAAAAUGGGGUUAAAAAAAUAGGCACACAAGAAAGGGAGAAGGAGAGGCAAGCUCGAUUAAGAUGGUGGAAGUAAUAGGCAAAUAGCACAGCCAAGAGGCUGCAGAAUUUGAUGUGAGAUCAGCCACAGUUGCCAUCCCUAACUUGCACCAAUAUGGAAUCAACCAAGGCUGCCACAAGGUAAGGGGAUCCAACCACAAGCCAAAGAGGAUAGAGGAAUGGAAACCUCUCAUCGAGACCGGAGAAACUGCCAAGGAGGGGCUGUUUUCUCCCAAGAAUUUCACCAUUCUAGCAUAAUCACAAAACUCAAAAAGGAUGCCAACACUGCAGCCUCAAAAUAGAAAUUGGAGCUCUCCAAUGCCUUACACCAAUAUAGUAGUGAAGCUUUAAGCCCAAAAUCAAAAAGAAGAGAGAAUCUUUAACCCAAAUUAGACACAAAAUGCCAAGGAGUUUUGGCUAUAAAUACCAGCCCCACCAUCAUCUCCUUCCUCACACCUCUCUAUAUUCACAAGACACAAGAAGUGCAACAAAAGAGGAAGGAGCAAGGAGGGCAGCCGCAUAAACCAAAGAGGCCAUCCAAACUAAGGUUGUGCAUGCGAACACGUUCUGGGAAGGACAUCUUAGAGCCGCUCGAUCUAGAACUUCAGAAGACACGUAGGAGAAUAAGAAGAGAUCAAGACGAUAUGGGGGACCACACUAAAGUAGAGAUAGAAAGACUGCAGAUCUUGGUCAUGCAGUUGAUGGAUGAGAAGGCCGCAGAGAAGGUGGUCAGAGAGGAGUAGGAAAGGAAGAAUAAAGAGAUAGUACCCUUGAUGCACAUGUUCAAUCAUGGGAAUACCAUAACCUUUCCCGAAGGCCCUCGUAUUGAUGCUAACAAUUUAGAACUGCGAAUGCCCCUUAUACAAAGGGUAGAGUAGUAUCCUUUUGCAGGUAGGGCCACCGAGGAUGCCAACCGCCACCUCACCAAGUUUGUGGAGAUUGCGAACACCUUGAAGUUGAAUGGCGUCGACGACGACAUCAUAAGGGUAAGACUCUUCCCAUUCUCUUUGAUUAAUUCUGCUAAAUAGUGGUCUGAGUGUUUGCCCGUAUAGCAAGUCUCCACGUGGAAUGAUAUAGUAGCGGCCUUCCUCGAAAAGUACUAUCCGCCAGGCACAAUCCUAAAGCUCAAGAGUGAGUUCUUCCAGUUCAUACAAGGCCACGACGAGCCACUCUACGAGGUUGUUGCUCGCUUCAAAGGCCUCCUCCGCAAGUGCCCCAACCACGGUUUACCGUGGACCAUGAGGUAGGAGUUUUAUAUAAUGGUUUCAUUGAAAAGAUUUCCGCGAAUGGAGGAUUUCUGAGGAAGAGUGGACCGGAGGCCAUGGCGGUCAUAGAGGAGUUCGCCGCCAAUAGUAGAGGGUGGUCAAAGGAGAGGCAUAACUCGAGAAGGGUGGCAGCCAUUGAAGAGGCCGAGGAGAGUUCACUUGCUAAGGAAUUGACCGAGCUUAGAGUGAGAGUAGAUAAGAUGGACACGUCCAAGAGGGAGGAUCCAAUCCCACCAACUUCUGUCAUCGCAGUCAAUCCAUCAGACAUCCCACCUACUGAUAAGGCUCGUUUCAUGCAUGUGUUCUGUGUCAAAUCUACGCCCAAUUCUGUAUUCUAACGUGCAAUUAUGAGCCAUGUGUGUGCAAAGGUCCGCCAUAUUCGUAGUAUGAGCUGAUCAGUUGGGCGGACAAGCGGAUCAAGGAAGAGAAGUUGUUUGGCUACAUAAACGGACCAAGACAAAACAAUUGGCAGUAGCAGGAGCACCCGAUUGGGAGACGGAGCGAAACACAAGAAAGAUCCCCUAAAGCAAGGGCAAGACAGACUUUUCAGAAGACGGUUGGCCUAGGGAUCAAGACCUCACGACUUCCUAUAAUUGAAAAUAGAGAAGGAGGAAGGAGGCAACGCUCAACAGACUCAGCUUUCUCCCAGGGUUGAAAUGGGGGCUCCCAACACUCCAAAUUCCUGAUUUCUGCCACACACACUUGGUUCAUAGUUUAGUUUUAGUUUUAGUGGGGUUGGGUGUUUGUUUUCAUACUUUCAUCUUGGUGCUGUAAUUCCGUUCCGAGAAGGAACGAAGAUACAAUCUGUUGUUUUCAAGUUUGUUACGCUUGUUUUAUGUUUUCUUGCUGUUAUUGACUCUGGUGUUUUUGUGAAGUAAAUCCAAUGAAUCAUCUCCGUUUCCCUCA